AGGGCUCAUCUUUGGUCUUGCAAUCCCUGUAGGCACAAAACUUGAGGGUAAGCUCGCACUCUCCAGCAGCUGCGAGGCAUCCGCGCGGGCGAGGCUGCUCCGUUUCAUGAUGUGUCUCCACCUGUGAACUGCAGGGAAGUCAUAGUUUAGUACGUUUAGGUGAGGAAAAUUAGUCUGCUGAGGCGAAAUGCAAAGCAAGGGCUAGUGCGCGCAUAAUGCAUCCGCAAAGCAUGUUGUUCAUUGCAAGUAUGGAGUCCACAAUACAGCAAACUUUCUGGUAAAUAAGUAAAUAACACAUAUCUCAUUCAGUUCUGUAAUUCAUGUUGUGCAUAUGAUAUUUACAGAGUUAUAGGCCUUAGAGUUGAGCCCAAUCAUGAUCGCGCCUAUAACAUUCUCACAUGUGUGUCAAAUAAAGGUCGAGUCAAUUCGAGCUUUGGUCGAGCCCAACUCUGUUCCCUUUUAUUGGCAGGCAGGCCUCUAGUAUGGCAUAGUAUAGGGCUAUAGGCUACCAACAUCACCAAUUCACCAUGAUGUCUGUACGUUUUACUCAGGACAUUUAUUCACUCCAUUGUUUAUAUGAUACACUGAAAAAUUAGUGUUGAUAGUACUAAGUUUGAUGUGCUAUUCACCAUUGUGGCAAGAACUAUGGCUGAAUGAAAACGAUGUUAUGUGUGCUCAUUCUGGAUAUUAUGUCGAAACGUCUCCCUUUAUAUUCUUGUAAACUAAGAUCUGAGUUUGCAAACCCUACACAUGACAUGAUCCAACUAGUACUUGCGCAGAUAACUUAGACUUGCAAGGUUGGAGCUGGAUGCUGACUUAGUUUUCGUCUCAUUCACAAGGCUUGCGGUGGCGGCCGACGGCAGGUGAGGUGGCGGCCCUGCUUCUUGGCGGCAGGGUGGCGUGGUGGCGCGGGGUGGCCGGCGACGCGCCCCCGCCUAGAUCUGGGCCCUGCGGGCCCCAUCUGAAUUCUAGUGGGCCGGCACCCGGCGUGGUGGCGUUGUCUUCUGCGUGGUGGUGAGGAGGAGCAACUUGGACGGGGGGCGGCGUCGUCGACGGCAUGCUUGUUGCAGCGCGACGGCAGGAGCUUUACGGACGGGGGUCCCGGCCGGGCCUGUGGGCCCACAGGCCUGGUAUGCUAAUGUUAUUGCGUCUGGUCGGCUACCGUCAUUGACGGUGCAGGUUGAGCCUUUCCGCGUGCCGAUGAUGUUGUUGCUUCUAGUCCCGGCUCCUUUUCGUCGCUGUGCAGGUCGCUCCUUCCGGUGCCGUGGUGAGACGGCACGGGGGCUUCAAGAGCGUGUUGGUGCCGAGUGAAGGUCGGUUUGGUGGCAGGCUCCGGAGCGGUCGAGGUGUGGGUUGGGAUCGGAGAAAACACCUUUCGGCCCAGGCGACACCGAUGCGGUGACGUCUUUGGGUGUCGUCGAACCUUCCUGAAGGGCGUCGGAGCUACCCUUCCUCGCGCCUCGUCGCGUACCGGAGGAAACCCUUGACAGCAGUGUCGUCAUCGUCGCAUUCCUUCUUCGAGGUAUUGAUGGGUACAUGCGCUUUGCAGACUUAGAGAUUGGUGGGAGAUCCUUGGUGGGCGCAGCGAUCGUGGGUCUUUUGUGUUUUUGUCGAUCUGUCGGUGUCGGCAUUUGUUUCUCUUAUAUAUAUAUUAUUAUUUUUUUGGAUGUGACUGUGUUGUUUUCGUCUCAGCAUCUAUAAUUGGAUGUUUUGGUUGGCUGCUUUGUAAUAUAAAGCGGGAACCCUUUUAUGUCUUUAUUCACAAGGCUUGUUGAGUGCUAACUGACAUCCUAUCCUAAUUUACAGCUUAGAAUCUGUUGCCGCACCAGUUAACUCUAUCACUACAUAUGGGAGACUCAAAUCAAAUUGUAACCACACUCGUAUGCCUACCUGAAUUUUUUAUGGUACUUUACAUAUGGGAGAGCGAAAUGGAUGCUGCUGUGAUUUCUGCCAAAUGCCAUGUUUCUGGGCAAAUGUAGGAGGAUUCAACAGGAUUUCAGCCAUACCUCUAUGUUCAUCGGGCUGGACGGUGAAGACGAGCUGGAGCGCCGCGCGCUGUUGAAGGCCGCGAAGGGAGGAGUUUCCGGUCUGCCGCCUUGCGGCGUGGAUCGAGAUUGGUGAGGCUCCGGGAGAAAGGGGAUUUGGCUUCGGGGGCAGAAUGUGAGCUGUUGGGGAG
rnacentral:lncRNA from 1 species